rnacentral:rRNA from 1 species
UACGUAGGGUGCAAGCGUUGUCCGGAAUUAUUGGGCGUAAAGAGCUCGUAGGCGGCUUGUCGCGUCGGAUGUGAAAGCCCGGGGCUUAACUCCGGGUCUGCAUUCGAUACGGGCAGGCUAGAGUGUGGUAGGGGAGAUCGGAAUUCCUGGUGUAGCGGUGAAAUGCGCAGAUAUCGGGAAGAACACCCGUGGCGAAGGCGGCUCUCUGGGACGGUACUGACGCUGAGACGCGCAAAGCGUGGG